ACAGGUAGGGUCAGUCAGGUAGUAGUGUAUAGUGAGUCAUAUCUACAGGUAGGAUCAGUCAGGUAGUAGUGUAUAGUGAGUUAUAUCUACAGGUAGGGUCAGUCAGGUAGUAGUAUAUAGUGAGUCAUAUCUACAGGUAGGGUCAGUCAGCCAGAGUAGUGUACAGUGAGUCAUAUCUACAGGUAGGGUCAGUCAGUCAGGUAGUAGUAUAUAGUGAGUCAUAUCUACAGGUAGGGUCAGUCAGCCAGAGUAGUGUAUAGUGAGUCAUAUCUACAGGUAGGGUCAGUCAGUCAGUCAGUCAGGUAGUAGUAUAUAGUGAGUUAUAUCUACAGGUAGGGUCAGUCAGCCAGAGUAGUGUAUAGUGAGUCAUAUCUACAGGUAGGGUCAGUCAGCCAGAGUAGUAUAUAGUGAGUCAUAUCUACAGGUAGGGUCAGUCAGCCAGAGUAGUGUAUAGUGAGUCAUAUCUACAGUUAGGGUCAGUCAGGUAGUAGUAUAUAGUGAGUCAUAUCUAC
ensembl:lncRNA